UACGUAGGGGGCGAGCGUUGUCCGGAAUCAUUGGGCGUAAAGCGCGUGUAGGCGGUCCGGUAAGUCCGCUGUGAAAGUCGGGGGGCUCAACCCUCGGAUGCCGGUGGAUACUGUCGGGCUUGAGUACGGAAGAGGCGAGUGGAAUUCCUGGUGUAGCGGUGAAAUGCGCAGAUAUCAGGAGGAACACCAAUUGCGAAGGCAGCUCGCUGGGACGUUACUGACGCUGGAGACGCGAAAGCGUGGGGAGCAAACAGG
rnacentral:rRNA from 1 species